GUGCAAAGAGCCUCCAGGUCCGCCUUGGAGAUGAGGGAACACUUCACUGCGCGGGUGGGCACCGAGUUGAUGGCUUUGAGGGUCCGGAGCUCUUUGAGAUCGCAGCGUCGGCUCUUUAUCUUUAAGGUUUCCAUCUUCUUGCUGAUGGUGGUCCUGGGGAUAUCCUUAAACAGGUCGCUGAGGACCUGGGCCAAAGCAAACAUCUGGGUGCCAUUGAUCUGUUGUUGUGUGAGAGGUUGCUGCGCCUUCCCAAAUCUGCCCGGAUUCCUUUGGGAUGGCUGUGUGUUCGUAUAGAUUUAAUAAAGCGUGAAAGAUAUUACUCUAACCGAGUUGUUCAAAACGAUUGACUCCGCAACAAUUCAUCCCUCAGCCCAAAGUGGAAUGCUUAUUAAUUGCCAAUUACUGUAUUUAUUAUCUGGAAUGAGCACGGGCUGGAGCGCGGUAUCAACAAUAACAUCGGCAAUAUGUGCAAAUAUAAAAGAAAUGCAAAUAUAUUUAUAUUCCUUUCUACUCACACACGUUCUUUAUUCACUUCGCAUCUGUUUCUUCCAAACUCUUUCUUUAAAAAAAUAAAAUAAGGUAAAAUUCUUUUGCAUGCCUUUGCGCUGCUUAACUUUAUUUCAAACUUUAAGUCCCAAGAUUUCUUCGGCAUUUUGUAGCUCCCUCCUGCCUUACAAACCAGGCGAUGUUUGCCCCAAAAACAGAGCUGUAGAUUCCUAUCUCCAAGCGGGGGGAAGAGUAUAUUUAAAAAUAAAACAUUAAAAAAGCCCCAAAGCCUUACCCAGGCCGGAGCUCCAUUGUCCCGGCUUCUCUAUUUCUUUAUAAACCUGAAGCUACUUGAGCGAAGCGAGUGGAGCCGCGGAGGCUGGACCGAGGGAUUUUAACUCUCUGCUCAGGAGGCUAAUUUUGGGGAAACAGUUACCUCGGAAACCUUUCUGGGGGAAGGGAAGCGGCAGCUCUGCAGCGCACGCUGCUCCCUUUCAAGCUUCGUCUGUCUCCCACAUGCAAAGUCGCUUUUAGUCUUCCUCUGCCUUUUUUUUUUUGUGGGGGUGUGUGUGUGGUUCAAAUGGCAAAAUCCGAGUGAUUUGGUAAUAAUAAUUUGUUAAACUAUAUGUACAAUCAACCACAAAUGAUCCCGAUUUAGAAACAGUCCCAGAGGAGGAGGAGGAGGAGGAAGCGCAUUCCUGAGUGAGCGUGUAAAAAAAUUCCGAAUAACUCCAACAUCGCCUUUAAUUUGGGAGCGGAGAUCACCUGAUUUGCAUUCACCUCCUCGCCGGCUGACGAGAAGGGCUCGUCCCCGUGCCAAUCCCGGUUCCUGAUCCCAGGAAUCACCGCCGGGCUUUCCCCCUCCCCAGCACCCAUGGGCGCACCCCCCGCCAGCGCUCGGCCUUGCUGCGGAAAGAAAAACACCCCAUUUUCCAGCUCUGGCUACGUUAAACCACCACAUUUCACCCUCGUUUUCCACAGGCGAGAGUUUCCUUCCUCUUCAAGGCCUGAUGUGGAUUGAGAGCCUGACCAGUUGCUUAUUGACCCAUGAUGGCAACACAAUGACCCUGCUGCCCCCAGCCUGACCCUGGGACCCCCGAAGGACCCAGCCCCACGGAACAGGGCUCAGAUAUGCAAAGUUGGAGCUUUAUGGGCUUUUGGGGAGGGGGGAAAGGGGGGGGCGGGGUGCAAAGUGGGUUUCAUUAACAAAAAUGUGUUUAUUGUAAAUAAAAAAGGCAAAGGGGCUGUUUAAAGGAACAUGUCCUGAAGGAUCGCAGCUACCUUCGGGAUGGGGAAAUGCUGGGAGCUUUGGAGCCCCUUUUAUCCCAACACACGCCUAAUUGGUGACAAUAAAAGGAGAAAAGCUGA